CGGUGGAUCACUCGGCUCGUGGAUCGAUGAAGAACGCAGCAAACUGCGCGUCGAAGUGUGAACUGCAGGACACAUGAACAUCGACGUUUCUAACGCACAUUGCGGCCCA
rnacentral:rRNA from 16 species